CUCGCAAGGCAACCAUGGGACUUAAAAUGAAGUUAAAGUUGCCAUAUGUCAUUCCAAAACCCAUUAUUCAGGCAGCAGGUAAAAUGGAUUUUUCCGGGUGGCCAGAGCAGUUUGAACCAGACCAAACUUUGUGUGAUUUGUGUAAAAGUCCUCUUGGUCAGUCCAAGCCACACCCAAAUCAACGUGGGCGAUCAAUCAUAAUGACCAAUGGAUGUCCAUUCAAAACAGUCAAAAUGCUAGUCAAAGAUUGCUCAUGUUGCUUUGCUAUGCACCAAGUGUUUCCCUACACAUUAGGUCUGUUUAAUAUUAGUGACAAGGUUCUGGUGGCACUUGAAAUUCUAUUAGACUUCCGAGAAUUGUUCAAAAGAGGAGUGCCAAUUUCUGUAGCCAUAAAAAGUAAAUUAGCUGUGAUGGUCCAGAAAGUUGAGGAAUCGCCAACAGAAAAUGAGUUGGAAAGUAUUGCUACACAUUUGUACAAUGGGUUUUAUUGCUUUGAGGCAAUAACUGAACGCAAUAUGGAUUCAGGUGUUUGUGGAAUUUGUGGUACUGUUGGUGAAGUGUAUUUUGGGGAUAGGAAUGAAAAAAAUUGCUGCAGCAUUAGCGAGAUUGAUUACUCACCACUACAAGAUAUAGAUUGUGAGGAAGAUGAUCCUAUUUCCUUUGAGAUUUUCUUGGAGAAAUUAAAAUACAAUUUGGUGGAAAAGACAACCUACACACGAUCGGAAAAGGCCACUAUCUACUUUUCCACCAUUCCACCAGUCAUAGCCCCAUCAUUGAGAGGUACAAAAUUGUUCAACACUGAAGGGGAAAAAAAAGUGCUUUUCUCAAGCAAUAUGGCAAACCUAAUAAAGGUGAUCCAGCUCUUUUGCAUCAUUGGAUAUCCACUCAAGUAGUUGACAUGAACACAAUUGAGCAAUGCAGUGUCGAGAAGCUAAAAGAACUUUGUCAUUUGUGUAAUAUAGCAAUUUCAGGCAAAUCAAAGGCAAGAAUGCUCAUUGAUUUGCGGUCAUUGUAUGAAACCUUGCUGGUUGGUUCAUGUCCUUGCCAUGGCUUCACAAAAGUGCCAGGGCAUACUGGUGGUUUCUACCACAUUGUUUGUCGCCAUGGCGUAACCGCAGCUUCAAAGUUUCUGACUUUACAGGAGUCAGUAAGACAUGCUGCCGAUCUCUAUUUAUCAUUUAAGCAUAUUCCUCUUGUUUUUCUUUGCGACACGGCUUGUGGGUUUGUCAGGCACUUAGAGUGCCGGGUCAGUAAAGAAAUGACCGAACAGCUAUGGAAAGAUAACAGAAGGUGUUUUGAGGUACCAUCGUUGGAUAAACCACCAUCAAAGGAAAUGAGUGUCCCUAUGCUGACAACAGCAGAAUACAGAAAAAGUGACAAUGAUAUGAUACAGGUGGAGGAUGGUAGCAUGAUUCAUCCAUUGACAGGCACAUCCAGGAGAUAUGUUUUAGGUGACAGAUUUCACACAGCAAGCAAUCCUCACAAGUCACCCCUUUGUGAAUAUCACAACAUAAAUCUUUUGUCUCAGUCGAACACGAUAAAAACAAGCUAUCAAGAGUCCGAAAACAACCGAAAGAAUGUGCGACGGUUACGAAGCUCGACAAUGCAAAAUUUUUCCACACACUAUUUUUAUAACUUUUUGAUGGAUUUCUAUCAAAAUGAGGAAAUAGUAAAAAAGCAACACGACGUAGCUUCGAGACAGCUAAAACCUGGGCAGAUGUUAUGCAGGAAUUCAUAUAUGCAAUUUGUGAUAAAAGAUGGUGAAAAAUAAGCAUUAGGGUUAUUACUCAUCG